GGAGGAAAAGAAACCAACAGGGAUUGCCUUAGUAACGGCGAGUGAAGCGGCAAAAGCUCAAAUUUGAAAUCUGGCACCUUCGGUGUCCGAGUUGUAAUUUGAAGAAGGUAACUUUGGGAUUGGCUCUUGUCUAAGUUCCUUGGAACAGGACGUCACAGAGGGUGAGAAUCCCGUGCGAUGAGAUGACCAAUCCUAUGUAAAGUGCUUUCGAAGAGUCGAGUUGUUUGGGAAUGCAGCUCUAAGUGGGUGGUAAAUUCCAUCUAAAGCUAAAUAUUGGCGAGAGACCGAUAGCGAACAAGUACAGUGAUGGAAAGAUGAAAAGAACUUUGAAAAGAGAGUGAAAAAGUACGUGAAAUUGUUGAAAGGGAAGGGCUUGAGAUCAGACUUGGUAUUUUGCAUUCCUUACCUUCGUGGUGGGGUUCCUUGCAGUUUACUGGGCCAGCAUCGGUUUGGAUGGUGGGAUAAUGACAUUGGAAUGUGGCUCUGCUUCGGUAGAGUGUUAUAGCCAGUGUUGAUACCGCCUGUCUAGACCGAGGACUGCGUCUUUGACUAGGAUGCUGGCAUAAUGAUCUUAAGUCGCC
rnacentral:rRNA from 1 species